rnacentral:rRNA from 1 species
AGAGUUUGAUCCUGGCUCAGGAUGAACGCUGGCGGCGUGCUUAACACAUGCAAGUCGAACGAAGCACUUUAUUUGAUUUCUUCGGAAUGAAGAUUUUGUGACUGAGUGGCGGACGGGUGAGUAACGCGUGGGUAACCUGCCUCAUACAGGGGGAUAACAGUUGGAAAUGACUGCUAAUACCGCAUAAGCGCACAGGGUCGCAUGACCUGGUGUGAAAAACUCCGGUGGUAUGAGAUGGACCCGCGUCUGAUUAGCCAGUUGGUGGGGUAACGGCCUACCAAAGCGACGAUCAGUAGCCGACCUGAGAGGGUGACCGGCCACAUUGGGACUGAGACACGGCCCAAACUCCUACGGGAGGCAGCAGUGGGGAAUAUUGCACAAUGGGGGAAACCCUGAUGCAGCGACGCCGCGUGAGCGAAGAAGUAUUUCGGUAUGUAAAGCUCUAUCAGCAGGGAAGAAGAAAUGACGGUACCUGACUAAGAAGCACCGGCUAAAUACGUGCCAGCAGCCGCGGUAAUACGUAUGGUGCAAGCGUUAUCCGGAUUUACUGGGUGUAAAGGGAGCGCAGGCGGUACGGCAAGUCUGAUGUGAAAGCCCGGGGCUCAACCCCGGUACUGCAUUGGAAACUGUCGGACUAGAGUGUCGGAGGGGUAAGUGGAAUUCCUAGUGUAGCGGUGAGAUGCUUAGAUAUCACGAAGAACUCCGAUUGCGAAGGCAGCUCACUGGAGCGCAACUGACGCUGAAGCUCGAAAGUGCGGGUAUCGAACAGGAUUAGAUACCCUGGUAGUCCGCACGGUAAACGAUGGAUGCCCGCUGUUGGUCUGAACAGGUCAGCGGCCAAGCGAAAGCAUUAAGCAUCCCACCUGGGGAGUACGCCGGCAACGGUGAAACUCAAAGGAAUUGACGGGGGCCCGCACAAGCGGAGGAACAUGUGGUUUAAUUCGAUGACACGCGAGGAACCUUACCCGGGCUUGAAUUGCAGAGGAAGGAUUUGGAGACAAUGACGCCCUUCGGGGUCUCUGUGAAGGUGCUGCAUGGUUGUCGUCAGCUCGUGCCGUGAGGUGUCGGCUUAAGUGCCAUAACGAGCGCAACCCCUCUCCUUAGUUGCCAUCAGGUUAAGCUGGGCACUCUGGGGACACUGCCACCGUAAGGUGUGAGGAAGGUGGGGAUGACGUCAAAUCAGCACGGCCCUUACGUCCGGGGCUACACACGUGUUACAAUGGCAGGUACAGAGAGACGGUUGUACGUAAGUACGAUCAAAUCCUUAAAGCCUGUCUCAGUUCGGACUGGGGUCUGCAACCCGACCCCACGAAGCUGGAUUCGCUAGUAAUCGCGCAUCAGCCAUGGCGCGGUGAAUACGUUCCCGGGCCUUGUACACACCGCCCGUCAAGCCAUGAAAGCCGGGGGCGCCUAAAGUCCGUGACCGUAAGGAGCGGCCUAGGGCGAAACUGGUAAUUGGGGCUAAGUCGUAACAAGGUA